rnacentral:lncRNA from 1 species
UACCAGUUUUAUGAACAAUAAAUGAGGUGUUACGUAGGCAAUUGUGAUGACAUGGCACCCUAUUUAUGAUGUAAGAGAAGAAAUUAGUUUCAUGGGGAUGAAACCAUGUGUACACGAUUUUCAAAAUGCUUGUAUCUUGCAUGUAACCUUGGAAACAACAAAAUAUGAAACAAUGCAUUGUGUGAGGUAUUUCAUCUACGAAAUAAAUACAUUCUUGCUUACAUGGCACUCUUGGAAACAUAAGCAUGAAACUUUGCAUUGAGAAUGACCUUAAUUUACCUUACUUUUGCAUACAUGUUGUAUAUAGUUGUAAUGAAUGCGAGCAGCGUCUUAAACCAUCUUGUUUGUAGAACUGAUUAGCAUAUUUUGUUGGCUUAAUUAGCUAGAUCGAACCGGGCUAUAAAGAUUCUUUUUCAGCUUGUACAUAUAUUUAUAGUCUUUUUUUUGAAGUGACUUUUUUUAUGAAACAAAAUAUAUUUAUAGUCUUCUUGGUAUUUAAGAAGAAUUAAACUCCCAGUCCGUUCUAUUUAAAUUCUCUUUAUCUGAUCUAAAUCACCGAAAAUGAAGGUUGUCUUCACCAUCCAAUUGCUCAAUCUCAAAGUCUAGCUUAGGUAAGUCUAAUUCAUGUCACCUUCACCUUAGAGAAAGGAUUUCAUCAAACUCAAUACAUUUCUUGAGACCAAAUCCCUUCACAACAAGUCGGGUCAUAUACUUUGGAUGUGACAUGUGUUCUUCUUGUUUGAGUGUGCUGACCAACUUGUGUCUUUACAGCCUUGACAUUAGACAAUUAACAACCCAUAUGUAUAGUACUUAUGCAAGGAAUUAUCUAUCCUUUCUUCCAUAGCCUACAUCAACUCUUUGUUCUCAUAUUCCAUUGCAUAUGCAAAUCACUUAUAUUUUUGAAUUAUUAGAUAUUAAUACCAUAUAUUGAUCCGAGAAAAUAUGGUGGAAGGAACUCAAUCUCUACUUGAUCUGAUUUUCUCGGUGGAAGUGAUGGUGGAUCUGUCCUAGUGGCUGCUCAUCCGGGUCAUUGGUUUAAUUUCGGCAUCCAACUCAUAUUGCUCAGAGCUUUCUCAUCACAUGUACCAUGCAAAUUAUGUUGGGAAUAGUCUUGCGUUGCUUAUGAAAGCGCACCUUAUAAAUUUGAUGGAGUACUUACUAUUACUAUUUUGACUAGUGGGAAUAUGGUACAAGUAUCACUUUAUUGUUGAUGUUCAUGAUGAAACGAUUUGUGUGAAGAAGCGCAAAGGCCUGAGGGCUAGUAGACUUGUUUCUACUGGGAUCGGGGACGCUAGCGUGGUUACGUAUAGUACUGUCUCGAGACUAUAACUCGAAGUUGGCUCAGGCAGUCUUGAGCUUUGGAUUAAGCUCGGCUCGACCUUCUAACAAGAUCGAGACCUGAGGCGACAAGUUCGCUGAAGCUCGGCUCGUUGAGUCGUUGACAGCUAUAGCAGAUUGGCACGAAAGUAGUGAGAAGUGAACAGUGCAGAUUGGCACGCCGCACCUUGUCGCAGUCCAAUAUGCCUAGAACUAGAAGUCUGAAACACCACCUGGAAGUGACGAGGUCACGAUGAAGUUCACGUCUGAGUCUGAGGUACUUCCCAAGUUCAGUGCGCUGUUGAGUUUGUUUGCAAACUGAAGCGGACUGAACAUGAAAUCCGCACCGGAGCAUAUUCCAAGCUCUCGACACCGCGGCCGCCGCUGCAGGCCUGAACCUGUUUAGCUGUUAAUCAUACCUGUCGGUUGCAACAUUUGCUCGUCAUUGCAUUGUUAAAUCGAUCAACGAGUCUUCUGUUUCCGACCAAUCUCUUGCGUCUACAGAACUCCCCAGCUUAAAGAAUCUGGUAGUGGGAAGUAUUCAAUGGAUUUACAACUGACAAGGGGUCAUUAUCUAAAAGAAUACUUAUCUGACAAAAUUAUGGGUCGAACGUAUGUCCUCGUACGCCACCUACCAAAGCAUAUCCUUCGUAUUUUUAAAAAAGAAACUCGCUCUAACGAAGACUUCGGGAGUGUUUGGUUCCACCUUGCUAAAUUUUUGCUGCUAAAGUUUAGCAACUUUUAGCUGCUAAACUGCCAAACACCCUUCCUAAAAUUUGCUAAAGUUGAGUUGCUAAAGUUUAGCACUUUAGCAAGUGUUUGGUCGCUAAAACUUGCUAAAAGGUGGGCUGGGCAACCUAUACCCCUCAUUUAUUGCUUGUCUCUCCCCUCCUGCGCACCUUUAAUAAGGGUAGAUAGAUCUUUUUACAGCUCAUUAAAUGCCUUUUAGUAAUAGUAUCCAAACAACUUUUGCUAAAGUUUAGCAAUUAAAGUUUAGCAAAUUUUAACUGCUAACCUUAGCAAGAGUAACCAAACAGGACCUUCAUCUCACAAGUGCAGUGAUAAAACCUGAAUGAUGUAGCAGUAGUGAUAUAAUACUCGUAGCAUCAUGGACGACAAUGCUUUGCAACUUCUCUAGCGUAUCCAAAUCCCAAAGUCAGAACCUAGAAGCAACAAGUCUUCUCUUUUGUCUGUCCUGUCCUAUAUCCUGGUCUCCUGGACAGGUCGUCAGGCACCAGGUCGCAAAGCUAGCUGCCAGGUGCUCGCCCGCGUCAGCUCUUUGCAUUGGUCCGAUUGCAUGGCAGGAACCCACUCCGUCUUCCUCGACACCGGCCUCGCGAUGCUGUUCGUCGUCCACUGCGUCGUGCUCCUCUGGGCGCUGAACCGGUGCUGCCGAGCACAAGCCUCGUCCCGCGUCGCCGUCGGGGAGCACGCGGAGGAAGGCGGCGGCGGGGCCGACGGCCUUUCGGCCGACCAGGUCGGCGAGCUGCCGUGCCACAAGUGCAAGGAGGGCUCUGGCGGCGGCGAGUGCGCGGUGUGCCUGGAGGCCUUCCGCGCGGGCGACCGGUGCAAGGUGCUGCCGGGUUGCGAGCACGGGUUCCACGCCGAGUGCGUGGACUCGUGGCUGCGCAAGAGCCGCCGGUGCCCCAUCUGCCGCGCCGUGGUGGUGGCCGCGCGUGGCAAGAACGCCGGCGAGGUGGAGGCGGCCACCGCCCUGGAGAUCGUUACCCAAAGAUAGCUAGGCUGCCUUUUCCACGUCACGGGUAUCAUGGCAAGAAACGCCGUAAUGUUUGAUUGUUUGGUGUUGCCUUAGGCCAUUCUCAAUACCAGUUUUAUGAACAAUAAAUGAGGUGUUAUGUAGGCAAUUGUGAUGACAUGGCACCCUAUUUAUGACGUAAGAGAAGAAAUUAGUUUCAUGGGGAUGAAACCAUGUGUACACGAUUUUCAAAAGGCUUGUAUCUUGCAUGUAACCUUGGAAACAACAAAAGAUGAAACAAUGCAUUGUGUGAGGUAUUUCAUCUAUGAAAUAAUUACAUUCUUGCUUACAUGGCACUCUUGGAAACAUAAGCAUGAAACUUUGCAUUGAGAAUGACCCUAAUUUGCCUUACUUUUGCAUACAUGUUGUAUAUAGCUGUAAUGAAUGCGAG